GCCGGGCGUGGUGGCGUGUGCCUGUAAUCCCAGCUACUCAGGAAGCUGAGGCAGGAGAAUCACUUGAACCCAGGAGGCGGAGGUUGCAGUGAGCCGAGAUCACGCCACUGCACUCCAGCCUGGGUGACAAAGCGAGACUCUGUCUCAA
rnacentral:SRP_RNA from 1 species